CCACCGGGAUGUUCAUAACCCUUUGUUGUCCGACUCUGUUGCCUCCGGGGCGACCCUGCCUUCGGGCGGGGGCUCCGGGUGGACACUUCAAACUCUUGCGUAACUUUGCAGUCUGAGUAAACUUAAUUAAUAAAUUAAAACUUUUAACAACGGAUCUCUUGGUUCUGGCAUCGAUGAAGAACGCAGCGAAAUGCGAUAAGUAAUGUGAAUUGCAGAAUUCAGUGAAUCAUCGAAUCUUUGAACGCACAUUGCGCCCCCUGGUAUUCCGGGGGGCAUGCCUGUUCGAGCGUCAUUUCACCACUCAAGCCUCGCUUGGUAUUGGGCAACGCGGUCCGCCGCGUGCCUCAAAUCGACCGGCUGGGUCUUCUGUCCCCUAAGCGUUGUGGAAACUAUUCGCUAAAGGGUGUUCGGGAGGCUACGCCGUAAAACAACCCCAUUUCUAAGGUUGACCUCGGAUCAGGUAGGGAUACCCGCUGAACUUAAGCAUAUCAAUAAGCGGAGGAAAAGAAACCAACAGGGAUUGCUCUAGUAACGGCGAGUGAAGCAGCAAUAGCUCAAAUUUGAAAUCUGGCGUCUUCGACGUCCGAGUUGUAAUUUGUAGAGGAUGCUUCUGAGUAACCACCGACCUAAGUUCCUUGGAACAGGACGUCAUAGAGGGUGAGAAUCCCGUAUGCGGUCGGAAAGGUGCUCUAUACGUAGCUCCUUCGACGAGUCGAGUUGUUUGGGAAUGCAGCUCUAAAUGGGAGGUAAAUUUCUUCUAAAGCUAAAUAUUGGCCAGAGACCGAUAGCGCACAAGUAGAGUGAUCGAAAGAUGAAAAGCACUUUGGAAAGAGAGUUAAAAAGCACGUGAAAUUGUUAAAAGGGAAGGGAUUGCAACCAGACUUGCUCGCGGUGUUCCGCCGGUCUUCUGACCGGUCUACUCGCCGCGUUGCAGGCCAGCAUCGUCUGGUGCCGCUGGAUAAGACUUGAGGAAUGUAGCUCCCUCGGGAGUGUUAUAGCCUCUUGUGAUGCAGCGAGCGCC
rnacentral:rRNA from 1 species